GACGAACGCUGGCGGCGUGCUUAACACAUGCAAGUCGAACGAUGAAGCCGGAGCUUGCUCCGGUGGAUUAGUGGCGAACGGGUGAGUAACACGUGAGCAAUCUGCCCUUGACUCUGGGAUAACAGCGGGAAACUGUAGCUAAUACCGGAUACGACACCUUGGGGCAUCCCAGGGUGUGGAAAGAAUUUCGGUCAAGGAUGAGCUCGCGGCCUAUCAGCUAGUUGGUGAGGUAAUGGCUCACCAAGGCGACGACGGGUAGCCGGCCUGAGAGGGUGACCGGCCGCACUGGAACUGAGACACGGUCCAGACUCCUACGGGAGGCAGCAGUGGGGAAUAUUGCACAAUGGGCGAAAGCCUGAUGCAGCAACGCCGCGUGAGGGAUGAAGGCCUUCGGGUUGUAAACCUCUUUUAGCAGGGAAGAAGCGAAAGUGACGGUACCUGCAGAAAAAGCACCGGCUAACUACGUGCCAGCCGCCGCGGUAA
rnacentral:rRNA from 1 species